ensembl:snRNA Gm22336 U6 spliceosomal RNA
GUACUCUCUUCAGAAGUACAUAUACUAAAACUGUCAGAAUACAGAGGUUAUUACCAUGGACCCUGUGCAAGACUGAUAGGCAAAUUCAUGCGAUAGUUAAAGUUUGA